GACGAACGCUGGCGGCGUGCUUAACACAUGCAAGUCGAACGGAAAGGCCCUGCUUUUGUGGGGUGCUCGAGUGGCGAACGGGUGAGUAACACGUGAGUAACCUGCCCUUGACUUUGGGAUAACUUCAGGAAACUGGGGCUAAUACCGGAUAGGAGCUCCUGCUGCAUGGUGGGGGUUGGAAAGUUUCGGCGGUUGGGGAUGGACUCGCGGCUUAUCAGCUUGUUGGUGGGGUAGUGGCUUACCAAGGCUUUGACGGGUAGCCGGCCUGAGAGGGUGACCGGCCACAUUGGGACUGAGAUACGGCCCAGACUCCUACGGGAGGCAGCAGUGGGGAAUAUUGCACAAUGGGCGGAAGCCUGAUGCAGCAACGCCGCGUGCGGGAUGACGGCCUUCGGGUUGUAUACCGCUUUCGCCUGUUACGAAGCUUUUUUGAUUUUUUUUUUUUUUUUUUUUUUUUUUUUUUUUUUG
rnacentral:rRNA from 1 species